UUUAUGUUUUAUAAUCUGCAUUUAUCGUUUAUAUUUUUAGGAAAGCAAAAUAGAUGAGCACCAUUUUGUUGCAGUGGCUGUUAGGAGACCUGAUGGAUCUAGACGACAAAAUGUUUCAUAUCAAGAUGACUCUAAACCAUCGCAGAGGCAGUUUACCAUUCUUAACUUUAAUGAUUUGAUAGCAUCUGCUAUUCCUAUGACACCUGAGGAUCCUUCAUUUUGGGACUGUUUUUGCUUCACAGAAGAAAUUCUAAUACGGAAUGGUACCAAGUCAUGAUAGAUUCCCUGAGUAAGGAAAAGAAAUGAAAAGGGCAAUCUUCUGUGUUCACUAAACUAAAAUGCUGGAUGUGCUCAAAUUUUAUUUAUCAAAACAUUUUUAAGACCCAAAUGCUUUUUAAGAGCAGACUUCCAGUUCAGUGGCUUCUUCCUGUCCAGAAUUGUAAUUGACAAAAAUGAUGACAAAAUCUUCCAGUGAUACAUAUGCUUUAUAGAAAGAAAAAAGUAAAGUAUAAACAUGUCGAAGGCAAGCAUUUUCACAGAAUUACCCUAAAACUUGAGUUAUCAUUCCAGAAACUUUUGUUGCAAAUGAAUCCAUAUUAACUUUUUUUAAAUGAUAACAUAUGUUUUGAAGAAAAUACAUAUGCUCUUCAUAACUGUUGUUGAUACAUAAACUUAGUGGUUCUAAGAUAUUGCCUGGUAUGAUGUCUGUGUGGCAUAUAUUGUAAGGUUUAAUUUGUCAUUAGCAUUACAAUACUCACAUUGCCUUAGCUGCAGUAACAAACUGCUGCUGGAGCUUCCAGGUUUAUAUCUUUAUACAGUUGUGAUAUUUGUUUUAUCAGUGAGUAGCUCGCCCCCCCCCCAAAGAUUCCAUCAAUUCAGAUGUGUCUGAUAUGUUUUACCACUGUCAAAAACAGACCAGUGAAAGGAAAAGCUAAGCCCUGUUGGGAGAAUUUCACUGAGGUAACACUACUACUGGGCUUGAGGAAGAUGUACCAUAGUGUACUCAUUUGCCUUUUAGGAGUUUUAGUUGUGUCAUUAUUAGUGUAAGCAACAGUACAGUAAAAGCUCUGGCAUUUUGAGAGACAUGCUUAAUUGUGUCUUGCAGACAGGUUUUAGAAAUGGAGUGACUGGUCAAAGGGGUUAAACAACUUUGGUAUGUAUUAUCAUUGCCCUUGAAAAACUACAGUUCAUACUUCAGUUAGUCAUGUGUGAGUACCACCAUCUGUGUACUCUCUGUUCAACUGUAGGUUUUGCCUUGAUUUUAUUCUCUGAAGGGUUUUUUGUUCUUUCCUUCUAUUGGUCUGUAUAACUGAAAAGUGGUACCAUAUUUUAAGUUUGCAUUCAUUUCAUUACAGAUGAGCUUGAUAUGCCAUUGUUACUGGUUAUUUGUAUUUUCUUUUUAUAAACCUCUUGUUCAUCUUCAUCUGUUUUUAUUUACUAAAUAGACUUACAGUGUGAACAUAAUAUAUUAAGAUGCCAAAACCAUCAUAUUGAUGAGAGAAUCUACUAUAUGGUUGUAGUAGUGCAUGUCUUCAGGAGUUAGUCUUAUUACUGUUAAAUAUUAAGAAGUAGAAUAAUGCCAUUGUUCUUAUUACUAACAUUAAAAAUUAUGUGUAAGUUAUAUAAAAUUGCUCAGUAAAAGUGUUUUUAUUUUAUUUUAUUGAGCAUGCUUAAUUUUACAAAGCAUAGAAAAUGUUGUAGCAUUUCUAAUAGAUGAAGUAUUGUAAUCCCCUGCAUGAGUGUAAUACUGAAAUGAAAAAUCAUUUGUCUUAUAAUAAAAUGAUAAUAAUUAUGGACUUGUA